rnacentral:rRNA from 1 species
AUACGGAGGGUGCAAGCGUUAAUCGGAAUUACUGGGCGUAAAGCGCACGUAGGCGGAAUGUUAAGUUAGAGGUGAAAUCCCAGGGCUCAACCCUGGAACUGCCUUUAAUACUGGCAAUCUAGAGACCGAGAGAGGUGAGUGGAAUUCCGAGUGUAGAGGUGAAAUUCGUAGAUAUUCGGAGGAACACCAGUGGCGAAGGCGGCUCACUGGCUCGGUCCUGACGCUGAGGUGCGAAAGCGUGGGGAGCAAACAGGAUUAGAAACCCCAGUAGUCC